UACGUAGGCAGCGAGCGUUGUUCGGAAUUACUGGGCGUAAAGAGUGUGUAGGCGGUGCUCUAAGUUCGGUGUGAAAUCUCCCGGCUUAACUGGGAGGGUGCGUCGGAAACUGGAGUGCUCGAGCGUGGGAGAGGAAAGCGGAAUUCCUGGUGUAGCGGUGAAAUGCGUAGAUAUCAGGAGGAACACCUGCGGUGUAGACGGCUUUCUGGACCAUUGCUGACGCUGAGACACGAAAGCGUGGGUAGCAAACAGG
rnacentral:rRNA from 1 species